rnacentral:rRNA from 1 species
GACGAACGCUGGCGGCGUGCCUAAUACAUGCAAGUCGAACGCGACACCUUCGGUUGCGGAGUGGCGAACGGCGGAGGAACACGUGGUGACCUGUCCGGAACUUGCGGACAACACCGCGAAAACGGUGCUAAUCCCGCAUACACUCUGAGGAGGAAAUCCUGAAGCCGCGCACGGGUUGCCCUGCGGCCAAGCUGGUUGUUGGUGUGGUACCGUCCUACCAAGCCAAUGACGGGUCGCUGGUCUGGGAGUUCGACCAGCCAGACUGGGACUGGGACACGGCACAGAUACCGACGGGAGGAAGCAGGAAGGAAGUUUAGGGAAUGGGAGCAAGACGGAGCGAGCAACGGCGCGGGAAGGAAGACGGCCUUCGGGAUGUAAAUUGCUUUUGUUAGGGAUGAUAAGAGACGGUACCUGGUGAAUAAGCCCCGGCUAACUACGUG